CCCAGAUUUAGGACCUAAAAGCUAAGCAUGCAAGCACCAAGGAAAGACCAUGUGAGGACGUAAGGAGAAGACAGCUGCAAACUAGGAAGAGACCCCUCACCAGAUCUGCUGGCAUCUUGAUCUUGGACUUCCCAGACUCCAGAACUGCAAGAAGUAAUGAUCUAUUAAUUAAGUCACCCAGUCUAUAAAAUUUUGUUGUAGCAGUCUGUCUUAGCAGGCUAAAAUAGGGGCCCUGCAAAUUAUGCUCCCUUGCAUUCCUUGUUUCUCUACAUCUAAUUGUAAAUUGCCAGAAAACCAGGGCCAUGGAACUCAGAGCGGAACUUGGAAUAGAUGAUGGUAAAUAUGACAGCUGGGAGUGCUGUAUUACAGCAAACAGGGAAGUCUGUUUGUUACAUGAAAAGACAAGUAAUAAAAUGGUGAAAUGGAAAUAAUCUGUCUUCUGUACUCUUUUUCCAAGGGCCAAUGUUCCCCGAAUCUUUCUUUCACUGCAUGCACUACUGUGCUUUGUAAUUACCCAACUCUACAUCUGUGUCCCCAAAUAAGCCACAUAGUCCUUGGAAUCAUGGAUGCAUCUUAUUCAUCUUUUCUAUCUCCAAGGCCAUGUACAGUACAUAACAAAGACUCCAUAAAUAUUUGAUUAAUUGUUUAAUUAAUUAAUGCUUAAUUCUUAGUAGAAUUGGGAAAGAAUGAUGGCUUGGAUUACUUACCUAAUAUCUCUCAUGUGAAACUCUAGACUAAAAUUGCAAAUCGAUUUCAUUACUUUUUUAUUAGUAAUCAUAGCUUUUGGAAUAAUU
rnacentral:lncRNA from 10 species